AGUGAACGCUGGCGGUAGGCCUAACACAUGCAAGUCGAACGGCAGCACAGUAAGAGCUUGCUCUUACGGGUGGCGAGUGGCGGACGGGUGAGGAAUACAUCGGAAUCUACUUUUUCGUGGGGGAUAACGUAGGGAAACUUACGCUAAUACCGCAUACGACCUACGGGUGAAAGCAGGGGAUCUUCGGACCUUGCGCGAUUGCAUGAGCCGAUGUCGGAUUAGCUAGUUGGCGGGGUAAAGGCCCACCAAGGCGACGAUCCGUAGCUGGUCUGAGAGGAUGAUCAGCCACACUGGAACUGAGACACGGUCCAGACUCCUACGGGAGGCAGCAGUGGGGAAUAUUGGACAAUGGGCGCAAGCCUGAUCCAGCCAUGCCGCGUGGGUGAAGAAGGCCUUCGGGUUGUAAAGCCCUUUUGUUGGGAAAGAAAAGCAGCAGGUUAAUACCCCGCUGUUCUGACGGUACCCAAAGAAUAAGCACCGGCUAACUUCGUG
rnacentral:rRNA from 1 species